UACGUAGGUGGCAAGCGUUGUCCGGAUUUACUGGGUGUAAAGGGCGUGCAGCCGGAGAGACAAGUCAGAUGUGAAAUCCGCAGGCUCAACCUGCGAACUGCAUCUGAAACUGUUUCCCUUGAGUAUCGGAGAGGUCAUCGGAAUUCCUAGUGUAGCGGUGAAAUGCGUAGAUAUUAGGAAGAACACCAGUGGCGAAGGCGGAUGACUGGACGACAACUGACGGUGAGGCGCGAAAGCGUGGGGAGCAAACAGG
rnacentral:rRNA from 1 species